rnacentral:rRNA from 1 species
GUUAAAAAGCUCGUAGUCGGAUUUCGGGGCGGGGCGACCGGUCUGCCGAUGGGUAUGCACUGGUCGGCGCGUCCUUCUUUCCGGAGACCGCGCCUACUCUUAACUGAGCGGGCGCGGGAGACGGAUCGUUUACUUUGAAAAAAUCAGAGUGUUUCAAGCAGGCAGCUCGCUCUUGCAUGGAUUAGCAUGGGAUAAUGAAAUAGGACUCUGGUGCUAUUUUGUUGGUUUCGAACACCGGAGUAAUGAUUAACAGGGACAGUCAGGGGCACUCGUAUUCCGUCGAGAGAGGUGCAAUUCUCAGACCAAUGGAAGACGAACCACUGCGAAAGCAUUUGCCAGGGAUGUUUUCACUGAUCAAGAACGAAAGUUAGGGGAUCGAAGACGAUCAGAUACCGUCGUAGUCUUAACCAUAAACCAUGCCGACUAGGGAUUGGAGGGUGUUCUGUUUGACCCCUUCAGCACCUUACGGGAAACUAAAGUCUUUGGGUUCCGGGGGGAGUAUGGUCGCAAGGCUGAAACUUAAAGGAAUUGACGGAAGGGCACCACCAGGAGUGGAGCCUGCGGCUUAAUUUGACUCAACACGGGGAAACUUACCAGGUCCAGACAUUGUGAGGAUUGACAGAUUGAGAGCUCUUUCUUGAUUCGAUGGGUGGUGGUGCAUGGCCGUUCUUAGUUGGUGGAGUGAUUUGUCUGGUUAAUUCCGUUA